rnacentral:lncRNA from 1 species
AAAAAAAUAAAUCAAGACUAAUUUGUUGUAUAAUUACUAUAUAAUAAUACUUAACAACUUUUUUAUUGCAUUUCGUUAACACUUUAUGUGCACUGCUGCUCUGAGAUGAAAUUACAACAUACAUAUUUAAGUAAUACUUAACAACUUUUUGAUUUGUGUAGUAAAUUGUUAAACUGGAUCAUAAAAUUAGCUAACAAUAUUAGUAUCAUACUUUUACUGUUGGGAAAUCAAUUUCUUUUAAAUUAUCAUAUGCCCUAAUUUGAAAAUUUUAAGAAAACCCUCUUAAUCCCUUGUUUUAUUCAUUAUCAAAAACUGCGUCUUGAAAAAAAAAUUAAAAUCUUCACGCUGUUACAAUCAACACUAAUUAGACAAUCACAAUAAGAAAUAUAUAUGCCAAAAAUCGCAACAAAAAAUCCAGUAAUACUGUUAAUAUCGAAGACAAUUACGUAAACAAGUCAAUAUUACUGAUGAUUUUAAAAUAAAUCAUGCAACUUAUUUUGUUCAACCAAAUCCAUACCUUAUUGGUUGAUGCGGAAAUGAAUUGUCACGAAUUUACAACAGUGAAGAAUAAACUCCCUCUAAUCUCCAAGAGCAGAUUGUUAGGAACUAACACGAACAGAUCACAAUGAACAUGAAUUGAUUGGUAGGAACCUUCACGAGCAAAUCUCUUUCAUGGACGAAUAGUCACGAGUUUAUGUCAUUGAUGAUCGGAGGCAUUCACGUGUUCGGAAAAUCCCCUCAAUUACCCACUGCCUUUUGCCCUUUUCUCUCACUCUCUCUCACUCUCUUUUUGAUGUCACUAUGAUUCUUAUGAUUGUUAUUGUACCGGUUAUCACUCACCCAUGUAGUGUUUAUAUAGUACAAUAAGUUUAGUUUAAUUCAAAUCAAUUUCCUAGAGUUAUUUGAUAAGCUACAUUUUAUGUAAUUAGGAUUAAGAUAAAAUACGAAUUUUAUCUUAUUUAUCUUAUCACUUACGUUAACUUAAUCCAUCCCAUCAUGGGCGCUAAAUCUAACAAUUACAAUUCGUAUACCAUAAUUUUUAAUAAAAGUAAACGGAGACCUUAAAUUAUAAUGUAAAAAAGCGUGAAUAAAUUUAUAAUAAAUAAAGAACAAGGUAAAGUAAUGUCAAAAGCUAGCUCACAUGAGGAGCCAAUGAUGAAAGCCAAACAAGAGGAGAAACAAUCUUUGAGAUGAAAUUAGCCCCGAGCCAUCUAGAC